GAAAGACCAGAACACCACUACCAAGAGAACUAAAUCUAUUACAGGUAAAAAAGAAAGGACUAAGAAAUCAACAAUGACGGGAGAUAGUAAAAUCAAGAAAACUUCAAAUACUGUGGCAAAAUCUACAGAUGAAGACCUUCAGCUCUCAACAGAAGCUGAAAUGGAAGUUGGGGAAAUGGAGCUGUCAGAUGCAAAGAACAUUACAGAAGGGGACAUAGUUACAGAGCCUGUGAAGAUGGUAGAGACUCAGUGCAAAGGACUGAGUAAUCCUGCACUUGUAUUAGAGAGACUUGCACAGAUGCCUC
rnacentral:lncRNA from 1 species